rnacentral:tRNA from 1 species
GGUAUAGCUCAGUGGUAGAGUACUUGCUUUACAAGCAGGAGGCUCUGGGUUUGGUACCCAGCAUUGCCU